UACGUAGGGACCAAGCGUUGUCCGGAAUCAUUGGGCGUAAAGAGCGUGUAGGCGGCCCGGUAAGUCCGCUGUAAAAGUCAAAGGCUUAACCUUUGAAUGUCAGUGGAUACUGCCGGGCUAGAGUCCGGAAGAGGCGAGUGGAACUCCUGGUGUAGCGGUGGAAUGCGCAGAUAUCAGGAAGAACACCAACGGCGAAGGCAGCUCGCUAGGACGGUACUGACGCUGAGACGCGAAAGCGUGGGGAGCGAACAGG
rnacentral:rRNA from 1 species